AGCGAACGUUGGCGGCAGGCCUAACACAUGCAAGUCGAACGAAGCCUUCGGGCUUAGUGGCGGACGGGUGAGUAACACGUGGGAACGUACCGUUUGGUUCGGAACAACUCAGGGAAACUUGAGCUAAUACCGGAUGAGCCCUUAGGGGGAAAGAUUUAUCGCCGAAAGAGCGGCCCGCGUUAGAUUAGCUAGUUGGUGAGGUAAAGGCUCACCAAGGCAAUGAUCUAUAGCUGGUCUGAGAGGAUGAUCAGCCACACUGGGAAUGAGACACGGCCCAGACUCCUACGGGAGGCAGCAGUGGGGAAUCUUGCGCAAUGGGCGAAAGCCUGACGCAGCCAUGCCGCGUGAAUGAUGAAGGUCUUAGGAUUGUAAAAUUCUUUUACCAGGGACGAUAAUGACGGUACCUGGAGAAAAAGCCCCGGCUAACUUCGUGCCAGCAGCCGCAGUAAGAC
rnacentral:rRNA from 1 species